rnacentral:piRNA from 1 species
UGCUGGAGCCUGUUUGAUGAGAGCAC